GGGAACCGCCUGAACUGAAACAUCUAAGUAGGGCGAGGAAGAGAAAUCAACCGAGAUUCCGCUAGUAGUGGCGAGCGAACGCGGAAGAGGCCAAACCAAGAGUAGUAAUACUUUUGGGGUUUUGGACAGCGUACGGUAUUAACUGCGGUUAGUAGAAUGAAAUGGGAAGUUCAACCACAGAGCGUGAUAGUCGCGUACACGAAAACUAAAGUUAGCCAGCUGGAUCCAGAGUACCGCCGGACACGUGAAACCCGGUGGGAAGACGGGGGGACCACCCUCCAAGCCUAAAUACUCUCCAAUGACCGAUAGUGUAUAGUACUGUGAAGGAAAGGUGAAAAGAACCCCUGGCGGGGAGUGAAAUAGAACCUGAAACCUUGUGCCUACAAGCACAUAGAGCGCGUCAAUGCGUGAUAUGGUACCUUUUGUAGAAUGGUCCGGCGAGUGAAUGUCACUGGCAAGGUUAAGCUCUUCAGGAGUGCAGCCGAAGCGAAAGCGAGUCUGAAAUGGGCGUUUUUAGUCAGUGGUAUUCGACCCGAAACCGGGUGACCUAGCCAUGAGCAGGCUGAAGUGGAGGUAAAACUCCAUGGAGGGCCGAACCCACUCCCGUUGAAAUGGUAGGGGAUGACUUGUGGCUAGCGGAGAAAUUCCAAUCGAACCCGGAGAUAGCUGGUUCUCUCCGAAAUAGCUUUAGGGCUAGCCUCAAUUAACAUUACCGCAGGUAAAGCACUGAAUGAGCUAGGGGGCGAAAGCUUACUGAACUCUAUCAAACUCAGAAUGGCGGAUAAUGAAUGAUUGGGAGUCACACUACGUGAGAUAAGUUUCGUGGUGGAAAGGGAAACAGCCCAGACCCACAGCUAAGGUCCCAAAGUACAGUUAAGUGGAAAAGGAUGUGAAAUUGCGCAGACAACCAGGAUGUUGGCUCAGAAGCAGCCACUCAUUCAAAGAGUGCGUAAUAGCUCACUGGUCGAGUGAUUUUGCGCCGAAAAUUUAACGGGGCUAAACUGUACACCGAAGCUUGGGAAUAUACAUUUGUAUGUUGGUAGGAGAGCGUUGUGUAAGGGGUGAAGUCGUAGCGAAAGCGGCGGUGGACUUUACACAAGUGAGAAUGCCGGAAUGAGUAGCGAGAAUUAUGUGAGAAUCAUAAUGGCCGAAAGACUAAGGUUUUAGAAGGAAGGUUCGUCCGCUUCUAGUUAGCCGGGAGCUAAGGCGAGGCCGAGAGGCGUAGUCGAUGCACAUACGGUUGAGAUUCCGUAGCUACCUUGCAUUUAAGCGAAGGGACACAUUUGAAGGGCAUGACCCGGGCGUUGGUUGACCCGGGCGUAAGGGACCGAAAAUAAGUAGGGAAGCAUGCUUGGAUGGUGGCGAGAAAAGCUUCGUGUAUAUAAGCAGGGUACCCGUACUGCAAACCGACACAGGUAGUCAGGAAGAGGAUUCUAAGGCCAUCGGGAGAAGCGUUGUUAAGGAACUCGGCAAAUUGACCCCGUAACUUCGGAAUAAGGGGUGCUCACGCGAGUGAGCCGCAGUGAAUAGGUCCAGGCAACUGUUUAUCAAAAACACAGCUCUCUGCUAAAUCGUAAGAUGACGUAUAGGGGGUGACACCUGCCCGGUGCUGGAAGGUUAAGAGGAGGGGUGCAAGCUCCGAAUUGAAGCCCCAGUAAACGGCGGCCGUAACUAUAACGGUCCUAAGGUAGCGAAAUUCCUUGUCGGGUAAGUUCCGACCCGCACGAAUGGUGUAAUGAUCUGGACACUGUCUCAACAACGCACCCGGCGAAAUUGUAGUACCGGUGAAGAUGCCGGUUACCCGCGGCAAGACGGAAAGACCCCAUGGAGCUUCACUGUAGCCUGAUAUUGGGUCUCGGUAUUUUAUGUACAGGAUAGGCGGGAGACUUGGAAACCAGCACGCCAGUGUUGGCGGAGUCACCCUUGGGAUACCGCUCUUAAAGUAUUGAGAUUCUAACCUGCAGCCAUGAAUCUGGCUGGGGGACAUUGUCAGGUGGGCAGUUUGACUGGGGCGGUCGCCUCCAAAAGAGUAACGGAGGCGUUCAAAGGUUCACUCAGCAUGGACGGAAACCAUGCCUUAGAGUGCAAACGCAUAAGUGAGCCUAACUGCGAGACUGACGGGUCGAGCAGUAACGAAAGUUGGAGUUAGUGAU
rnacentral:rRNA from 1 species